rnacentral:lncRNA from 1 species
AUGCCACUAGUCUUACAGGCAAAAGGGGCAAAAAUAGGGUGGGCAGAAGGAGGGAACAGUCACAGUAGUUGUGAGUAUGUUCUGUAUUUCAAGAUUUCUCUCUGUCUCAGGGGAACGAGUCAGAAAGGAGAAGGCAGAGCCUGCCUCCAGCUGAACUCUUUGAGAUUGGCCAGAUUCAACGUGUUACAAACAAACAUAUUCCACCUGUUACAACAAUCUGGCAUAUUACUUCCUUGAUACGUGAUGAUACAAUACCUCUCAGGUUUGCUGAGUAGCAAAGAGAAAUCCAUAAAGAUUACCUGCAUCAAUGAAGCUUUCAGUAUACCUGCUCAUCCCAGUCUUCUUCAGAAUGUGUUUAGCAGCACCAACUCUACUGAGCUGUGAAAGGAGUAGCAGGUUGAAUUUACCAGGCUUAAGCAAGAUAAAUGGAAUAAAAAAUAUGGUACAGAGGGACUUGGCUGUGUG